AACCACGGUGAUUGCCGACGUGAUGGCCUCUGCGUGCUUCGAUUCGAUCCCGUGCGCCUCCAUACCCCGAACUAGGGCGUGUGUGUCGACGAGGAAGGCCCGCCGGGUCGGGACGAGUUCUGACAUGUGGCGGCGGUAGACGGCGGCGGCAUUGGGUAUCCGAUGAGCUCUGACACAGACGCCGCCCGCGGAGGCGGCAGAGGGGCGGAAGAUGAAGCGGGCGGCCCUAGCGGCGGAGUUCGCCAACAUUGGAGAUGAUGCGGG
rnacentral:misc_RNA from 1 species